rnacentral:rRNA from 1 species
ACAAGCGGCGGAGCAUGCGGAUAAUUCGAUGCAACGCGAAGAACCUUACCAAGGCUUGACAUACACCGGUAACGCCCAGAGAUGGGUGCCCCUUUGUGGUCGGUGUACAGGUGGUGCAUGGUUGUCGUCAGCUCGUGUCGUGAGAUGUUGGGUUAAGUCCGCAACGAGCGCAACCCUCGUCCUAUGUUGCCAGCGGGUCAUGCCGGGGACUCAUGGGAGACUGCCGGGGUCAACUCGGAGGAAGGUGGGGAUGACGUCAAAUCAUCAUGCCCCUUAUGUCUUGGGCUUCACGCAUGCUACAAUGGCCGGUACAAAGGGCUGCGAUACCGCGAGGUGGAGCGAAUCCCAGAAAGCCGGUCUCAGUUCGGAUUGGGGUCUGCAACUCGACCCCAUGAAGUCGGAGUCGCUAGUAAUCGCAGAUCAGCAACGCUGCGGUGAAUACGUUCCCGGGCCUU